AGUGUUCUAGGUCUUAAUUGCUUAAGUGGAAAACUUAUAAUUCCUUAGGUAAAUCAACAAUGAGUCUUGCAUGCUUGUAUGGCGUUCCAACUUGUGUUCUUGGCUUAACUCAAUCAAACUUUCAUUGAUCUUUAUGCGUUAAAUAUGUUUUGUUAGUGAGUAGCGUUCUAUGACUAGCAUUGCAUGUUUAAUGGUGCGUUCAUCUAGUUAAUCUAAUUAAGGGAAGUAAUAAGAACUUUGUAUGCGUUCAUCUCUGUUCUUAAUUGAUUUCUAUCUUCAUCAUAUGUUGAUUCGUGAUUUAUGAUUUGAUAUUCUGUUUUCGUGUUAAUGGUUGAUAACUACAUCUUGCAUCUUAUCCGUCCAUCUUUUCCUUGAUUCAUGGUUUGAUCGAUCACUUGUAUUAUGUAAUUAGAUUAGAAUAUAAACACUUUCGAAAUCCCCCUAUUUUGUAAUUCUGUAAAUAUAUUUUGUUUUAUUUUUGUUUAUAUUUUGUGAAUAAUAAUAAUUUGUUUAACGUUUUUGACAGGAAGUAUACCCCAGUCCCCGGCUUAGAACGAUACCCUACUUACUCAUACUAAAAUUCGAUGCAGGGUUUAAAUUGACACUCAUUUUGACCGUAUCAAAAAGCCUGCAUUUAGUUGUUUGUCUGAUGAAGAAGAGUUCUGUCUGCAUUCUUUGUUUGAGGAGCAUACAGUCACCGUACUCCCAGGGGAAUUUCUUGCCCGACCGUAUCGGCCACCUAUUUCAUUCAAAAUCAAGAAACCUCAACCAAAGUUUCCCCUCCCACUCCCUCGCCUGAAAGUGUUUGAAGAGGUCUUUCAAAAUCAAGAAACCUCAACCAAAGUUUCCCCUCCCACUCCCUCGCCUGAAAGUGUUUGAAGAGGUCUUUCAAAAUCAAGAAACCUCAACCGAAGUUUCCCCUCCCACUCCCUCGCCUGAAAGUGUUUGAAGAGGAAGAAGAGGAGUUUCAUCUCCGGAAACUCUUUGAAGGGGACUCACUUCCUGCUGAUGAAGAAGAGGAGUUUCAUCUGCAUAAACUCUUUGAAGGAGACUCACUUCCUGCUGAUGAAGAAGAGGAGUUUCAUUUGCAUAAACUCUUUGAGAAUGAUGCUCCUUAUUCAGGUGCAUAUUUCCAACCAUGGUUCAGUUGUAGAUAAAUUUAUAAGGAUUAAUUUCAGUUUACCCCCCUGAGGUUUGGGGGUGUCAUCAUGUCACCCUCUCUAUUCUCAAUUUUGAAUUUUUACCCCCCAAACUUUCCAAUUUCAAUCAGCCGUGUCCAAUUUCUCCUAUUCCGUCCAAAUUGGACGUUAACUCUGACCUUUGAGGGCUAAAAUGAUCAUUUCAAGACCAAAAAACUAAAAUUUUAUUAUUUUUUUUUUUCCUGUUUUUUCGUUUUUUUUAUUUAUUUUUUAUUUUGUCUUCAACCUAUAUACCACAAGUUAUAAUAGGUUUAUAAAAACAAAAAGAUACUCUAGGUGGUUGAA